rnacentral:lncRNA from 10 species
UUUUGUUUUCUAAACUGACAUUAAACUGUUACGACCCUCAAUGUCUGGUUUUUCUGAUAAAAAUCGUCUCAUUAUGCUGCUCUUGCCACCUCUGUCUUACCACUGACUCUCACUGGAUCUAAGUCUCACUGUGUGGGUGCUGAAUGUGGACAUGCAGGCGAUGAACGGCAGUAUGCACACUACCGUUCUCUGCCCCCAUCUACCCACCUUGAGAAUUAUGUCUCCUUCGUGAAGGUUGCCAUCUUUAGUUGCCAGACCCGUUCGGGUCAUUUCCUUUACGAAGAUCUGACUCCCAAGCCGGAGACCAUACUCUAGGAGACAAACACAUAAACAUACACGUAUGUUAUCAAUUUGUUCAAAAAACUUAGUCUGGUUUAUAGGACUAUUUUAAAAUAUGUAUUAAAAAGUUAAUUUUGUAUAUGGGAAAUUCUGUAAGAUGACUGGCCUGAACUCUUCAAAAAAGUCAAUGCCAUAAAAAACAAAAAAGGUAGAGAAACUGUUCCAGAUUAAAAGUUACAUAAAAACCAAAUGCAAUGCAUGAACUACCAUAGGUCCCUGAUCCAGUGGAGGGUGGGGGAAGAAUGAGUUACAUCAUUUGGAGCAAUCUGAAAAUGAACUAUAAUAUAUGAAAGGGAUAUUAAUGUUAAUCUUCUUAAGUGUUAUAAUGGUAUUACGGUGACUGAUGUAGGAGAAUGUUCUUAUCUUUGGAAGAUACCUCUGAAAUAUUUAUGGGUAAUGGUGAGUUGCCUGCAACUUACUUAAAUAGUACCAAAAAACCCACUGAGAGAGGUAACAGGAAGGGUGAUGGAGUAGAAGGAAAGAAAAAAAAAGGAGGAGGAAAAAGAAAGUGUGGCAAAAUGUUAACAACUGGUAAAACUAGAUGAAGGUUAUAUGUUUAUUUGCUAUAAAAUUAACAUUUUCUUUUUCUUUCUUUUUUUGAGACAGAAUCUUGCUUUGUCACCCAGGCUGGAGUGCAGGGGCAUGAUCUCAGCUCACUGCAACCUCUGCCUCCCAGGUUCAAGUGAUUCUCCUGCCUCAGCCUCUCAAGUAGCUGGGAUUACAGGUGCCCACCACCAUGCCCAGCUAAUUGUUGUAUUUUAGUAGAGACAGGGUUUCACCAUGUAGGCCAGGCUAGUCUCGAACUCCUGACCUCAGGUGAUCCACCCGCCUCGGCCUCCCAAAGUGCUAGGAUUACAGUCAGGAGAAUUGCUUGAACCUGGGAGGCAGAGGUUGCAGUGAGCUGAGAUUGUGCCGCUGCACUCCAGCCUGGUGACAGAGCAAGACAGUGUCU